rnacentral:rRNA from 1 species
CCUACGGGAGGCAGCAGUGGGGAAUCUUGCGCAAUGGGCGAAAGCCUGACGCAGCCAUGCCGCGUGAAUGAUGAAGGUCUUAGGAUUGUAAAAAUUCUUUCACCGGGGACGAUAAUGACGGUACCCGGAGAAGAAGCCCCGGCUAACUUCGUGCCAGCAGCCGCGGUAAUACGAAGGGGGCUAGCGUUGCUCGGAAUUACUGGGCGUAAAGGGAGCGUAGGCGGAUAGUUUAGUCAGAGGUGAAAGCCCAGGGGCUCAACCCUUGGAAUUGCCUUUUGAUACUGGCUAUCUUGAGUGUGGGAGAGGUUAGCGGAACUCCGAGUGUAGAGGUGAAAUUCGUAGAUAUUCGGAAGAACACCAGUGGCGAAGGCGGCUAACUGGCCCAUUACUGACGCUGAGGCUCGAAAGCGUGGGGAGCAAACAGGAUUAGAUACCCUGGUAGUCCACGCCGUAAACGAUGAGUGCUAGUUGUCGGCGAUGCAUGCGAUGUCGGUGACGCGAGCGUAACGACAUUAAGACACCUCCGCCGUCGGGAGGUACGGUCGCGAGAAGUUAAACUAACGUAAAGUAAGUUAGAGUGUUGAGACGNGCGAGGCGACGACGAGGGAGGAGG